AUCAGCAACUAAACAGAGUAUGGUGCAAGUUAAUGAGGAAAUUUGAGUGAAGUAAAAAGUCAAGUUGUCAAAGAUGCCUUCAGAUGAAAUUAAACACUCCAGAAAGGAAGUGGGAAAGGGAGAAGCUCCAUUUUAUGUCAUUAAGUUUUUUUUUUUUUUUGUCUGAUCAGUCGAUGUCUCACCAAAAUAAGUCUUUUAAGAAAAAGGACAAAAAUGACCCCUUUUUCUAUUCUACAAGAAAUACACAUUUUCUAAGAAGUGUUUCAUAAUGUUGAAUUGUGCAAGAAUAAUGGAAGAAAGAAUUACCUUAAACAAA